UUGUGCGAAGGUAGCAUAAUCAUUAGUCUUUUAAUUGGAGGCUUGUAUGAAUGGUUGGACAAAAAGUAAGCUGUCUCGAUUAUAAUAAUUGAACUUAACUUUUAAGUGAAAAGGCUUAAAUGUUUCAGGGGGACGAUAAGACCCUAUAAAGCUUGACAAUAACUUCGUUAUAUUAUAAAUUGUUAGUAUAACUUGAUUUUAACGGGGGUUUGUUUCGUUGGGGCGACGGGAAUAUAAUAAAUAACUGUUCUUUUAAAUAUAAUUACAAAAAUGUUUGGUAAAUAAUUGAUCCUCUAUUAGAGAUUAAAAGAUUAAGUUACUUUAGGGAUAACAGCGUAAUCUUCUUUGAGAGUCCACAUCGACAAGAAGGUUUGCGACCCCGAUGG
rnacentral:rRNA from 1 species